rnacentral:rRNA from 1 species
AACGAACGCUGGCGGCGUGGAUAGGACAUGCAAGUCGAACGGGAUUACUUCUGGUAGCAAUACCGGAAGUAAUUUAGUGGCGAACGGGUGCGUAACACGUGGGGAAUCUGCCGAGAAGUGGGGGAUAGCUCGUCGAAAGGCGAAUUAAUACCGCAUAUGAUCAGCCAAGACAUCUUGGCGACAUCAAAGCCGGGGCAACCUGGCGCUUCUUGAUGACCCCGCGGCCUANCAGCUAGUUGGUGAGGUAACGGCCCACCAAGGCUAUGACGGGUAGCUGGUCUGAGAGGACGACCAGUCACACUGGAACUGAGACACGGUCCAGACACCUACGGGUGGCAGCAGUCGAGUAAUUUUUCUCAAGUGGGGCCAACCCU